rnacentral:misc_RNA from 1 species
AUCACUAUUGGUGUACAGUUUUGUUGUCAUCAACAAAUUGCGCCCCAGAUGGAUGAAGGUUGCUGACGGUUUCUCAGCUCCUUUGAAAUGCAUGAGCAGAAAAACGAGCCCUGUCAGCUUCGGUUUGAUAUGUUUCUGGACCGUUGCUGAUGUCGUCCCUGCUGCUGCUUUGUCUCUACAGCCUGGAGACUGUCCGCCUUGUGCGGGCAACAAAUUUUUCAA